CGGUGUUUAACUGGCGUGAUGUGGGACGUCCUACCGGUGGGCUUAGCCUCGCGAGGGGCGGCCCAACUAAUAUCCCGUCGCGGUGCUCUUUACUGAGUGUCGAGUCGGGCCGGUACGUUUACUUUGAACAAAUUAGAGUGCUUAAAGCAGGCUAUCCUCGCCUGAAUACUGCGUGCAUGGAAUAAUGGAAUAGGACCUCGGUUCUAUUUUGUUGGUUUUCGGAACCCCGAGGUAAUGAUUAAUAGGGACAGAUGGGGGCAUUCGUAUUGCGACGUUAGAGGUGAAAUUCUUGGAUCGUCGCAAGACGGACAGAAGCGAAAGCAUUUGCCAAAAAUGUUUUCAUUAAUCAAGAACGAAAGUUAGAGGUUCGAAGGCGAUCAGAUACCGCCCUAGUUCUAACCAUAAACGAUGCCAGCUAGCGAUCCGCCGAAGUUCCUCCGAUGACUCGGCGGGCAGCUUCCGGGAAACCAAAGCUUUUGGGUUCCGGGGGAAGUAUGGUUGCAAAGCUGAAACUUAAAGGAAUUGACGGAAGGGCACCACCAGGAGUGGAGCCUGCGGCUUAAUUUGACUCAACACGGGAAACCUCACCAGGCCCAGACACCGGAAGGAUUGACAGAUUGAUAGCUCUUUCUUGAUUCGGUGGGUGGUGGUGCAUGGCCGUUCUUAGUUGGUGGAGCGAUUUGUCUGGUUAAUUCCGAUAGCGAACGAGACUCUAGCCUGCUAAAUAGGCGUACCUUAUGGUAUCGCGAAGGCCCCCGGCUUCGGCCGGUGGGUUUUUACUACCAACGUACAAACAAAUCUUCUUAGAGGGACAGGCGG
rnacentral:rRNA from 1 species